UUGUGUUACGAGCGUAACACAUGGUGUGACGGACGUCACACCAUUCUCCUAUAUUUUUGGCACCAGGAACGCAACAGACCACGUUGAAGCCUACUAUCACGCUUGACCCUUGGAACGUGAAGACCAUAUUACGGAAAGGACUUUUGGAAACCGUUACAAAGCAUACCAAUAUAAAUAGUAGCUUUUGGAAAAGCUCUUGCCGGUCCCCUUCGUU
rnacentral:lncRNA from 1 species